UACAGAGGUCUCGAGCGUUAGGCGGAAUCACUGGGCUUAAAGCGUGUGUAGGCGGAUCGGUAAGUACCUUGUGAAAUCCCACAGCUUAACUGUGGAACUGCUUGGUAUACUGCCGGUCUUGAGCAACCUAGGGGCGAGCGGAACAAAUGGUGGAGCGGUGAAAUGCGUAGAUAUCAUUUGGAACGCCAAUGGUGAAAACAGCUCGCUGGGGGUUUGCUGACGCUGAGACACGAAAGCCAGGGGAGCAAACGGG
rnacentral:rRNA from 1 species